AGGGCUGUAGUUCAGCGGUAGAGCACUUGCCUUGCAGGCAGGAGGCUUCGAUCCCAGCCCCU
rnacentral:tRNA from 1 species